AUGGAAGAUCUCCCCGAUGAAUUGCUCGCGGACAUCCUCCGGCGCGUUCCUCCACGGAGUCUCGCGGUGUGCCGGAGCGUCUGCAAGCACUGGUGCGCCGCCGUCGACACCCACGAGCUGCUCCUCGCGGUCGCGCACCGCGUGCCCUGCGCUCUGCACGGCAUCUUCGUCAACUACGUCAACGUGCGAAGGUCCGGAUUCUUCUCCCGCAUCACGGCCGGGACUACCAGCCAGCCCUCUAUCGACGCCAGAUGGUUCGCUUCAUUCCCUGGCCAACUGACUCGCCACCGUAGCGUCCUGGAUCACUGCAACGGCCUCCUCCUCUACGAGAACAAGCAGGUGCAUGUGUGUAACCCCGUGACACGCAGGCGGGCAACGCUGCCUGCCCCGCCACGCGCACAAACUCCCUACAGCCACUUGCCCUACUACCGCCAUCGUAUGUACCUAAUGUUCGACCCAACCAUGUCGCUGCACUACCAUGUCCUCUUCUUCCCUGAUGCUCCCGACAGGCCAAAGCCACCGUAUUUUCAACCUGCGGGUGUGUCACAGUCUAUGAGAGCAAAUCACGAGCACGAGUGUAACACCUUGGGUGUAAUGGAAUGGCCACCGUACGUGUACCCGCUGCAAGUUUUCUCGUCGAAAACUGGCCGGUGGGAGGAGAAACAAUUUGUUCGUCAAGGUGAUGCGGCGGUUACCGUGUCGGAUGUGUGGUCAGAUGGAUCUUCACCAAUUAGCUGCCAAGAUGGGCUUCGACGCCAUGCAGUGUACUGGCGGGCAUCGUUCUAUGUAUAUUGUGACACCGGUUUCAUUAUGAGGUUGUCACUUGAAGACCGAAUAUAUUUAGCGAUCAAAACCCCAAGACAAGAUAUAACAGGGUGCAAGAGACAUCUUAAGACAUACGAGUAUCUCGGAAAAUCCAAGCAUGGUGUCUACUUCACCGCUUUCCAUGGUUACCAACUUCAGGUAUGGGUACUAAGGGACACAUUAGAAUCAUGUCGAACUCCUGAGUGGGAGCUGAAGCAUCAAGUGGACCUUGAGCCUAAGUUAAAGCUACACUAUAACAGACACUUCAGAAGAGAAAAGUAUGAAAAGUGUUGGAUCUUAGAUUCUUGUGAUGAAGAGUCCGAGGAUAGUGGACACUAUGCAUGGGAUUCUAGUGAUGAUAGCGUCAUUGAUGUUGAAGGAGGUAUUAAUAUGGAUUACAAAGAUUAUUACUUUGCCGUUGACUUGCUGGGGUACCAUCCUUACAAAGAAAUUGCUUUCAUGGGCAACCGUUUCCAAGGAUUUGCUUACUACUUGGACAACUCCAAGUUACAAUACUUGGGGUCACCUUACCCAGCAUACCUAACCAAGCAUGAUCGUCGUUUGCUACCCAUGCUUGAGUCAUUCAUCUACACUCCUUGCAUGGAUGAUCUGCUUCCUGUUCAAAAUGAUGCAUGA
rnacentral:rRNA from 1 species